rnacentral:rRNA from 1 species
UACAGAGGAGCCAAGCGUUGUCCGGAUUGACUGGGCGUAAAGCGCACGCAGGCGGACGCGCGCGUGGGGUGUGAAAUCUGGCCGCCUAACGGCCAGGCGCCAUCCCAUACGGCGCAUCUGGAGUGAUGCAGAGGUCGAUGGAAUUGCCGGUGUAGUGGUGAAAUGCGUAGAGAUCGGCAGGAACACCCAGGGGGAAACCAGUCGACUGGGCAUCUGCUGACGCUGAGGUGCGAGAGCGUGGGGAGCGAACCGG